rnacentral:rRNA from 1 species
GGCCAAGUUUUUAAGGGCGCACGGUGGAUGCCUUGGCACCAGGAACCGAUGAAGGACGUGGGAGGCCACGAUAGUCCCCGGGGAGUCGUCAACCAGGCUUUGAUCCGGGGGUUUCCGAAUGGGGAAACCCGGCAGUCGUCAUGGGCUGUCACCCGCUGCUGAACACAUAGGCAGUGUGGAGGGAACGAGGGGAAGUGAAACAUCUCAGUACCCUCAGGAAGAGAAAACAACCGUGAUUCCGGGAGUAGUGGCGAGCGAAACCGGAUGAGGCCAAACCGUAUGCGUGUGAGACCCGGCAGGGGUUGCGCAUGCGGGGUUGUGGGAUCUCUCUUUCACAGUCUGCCGGCUGUGAGACGAGUCAGAAACCGUUGAUGUAGACGAAGGACAUGCGAAAGGUCCGGCGUAGAGGGUAAGACCCCCGUAGUCGAAACAU